GUUCAGAUAAAUGCAAAAAGAGAGGAUGCGGCACUUUAUGGUCAUGUGAUGGUAACUGGAAGCUAACGUAUCCCAUAUGCAUGUUUGAUACUCCCAAAGAAAAAUGGAGAAGCAUUCUGUGAAGAACAUAAGGAAAAAGCUAAAAGCCUGGGAAUUCCCACAAUUUUAGGAGAUUAUGUUAAAUACAAAAAGCAAAAUUCUAGAGACAUUGGUUUGGCUGGUAAAAAGGCAGACAAACAAGUUGACCUACAUGCUGCAUCAGACUGCCAAGGUACAACAGGCAUUAUUGACAAGUUUCCCAAUAUGUCGGCAGACUUGGAUGAUGAAGACAGUAGCAGCAAACCUUCCUGCAACAAAGAAACUGGAGAGAAGAAACGCAUUCAAAGAUGGACUAGGGGUCACUUUUUUGUUGUUCGUGGAGGGGGACAUAUUGACACAUGGCAACCUUUAUACCAAUCUGAAGGUCCUGCACAGGUUUUUUUGAUAUUACUUGUUUGGAUGAUCUCAGCUAUGCAAGAAAUGAGUAGAAAGGACAGACAAGAGAUAUAUC
rnacentral:misc_RNA from 1 species